rnacentral:ncRNA from 1 species
AGCUAACGCGUGAAACACUCCGCCUGGGGAGUACGGUCGCAAGACCGAAACUCAAAGGAAUUGACGGGGGCCUGCACAAGCGGUGGAGCAUGUGGUUUAAUUCGAUACAACGCGCAAAACCUUACCAGCCCUUGACAUAUGAACAACAAAACCUGUCCAUAAUAGGAUGGUACUGACUUUCAUACAGGUGCUGCAUGGCUGUCGUCAGCUCGNNNCGUGAGAUGUUUGGUCAAGUCCUAUAAUUAGCGAAACCCUCGUUUUGUGUUGCUGAGACAUGCGCCUAAGGAGAAAUUGCCACCGUUGUGAGCCGAGGAGCCGAGUGACGUGCCAGCGCUACUACUUGAUUGAGUGCCAGCACGUAGCUGUGCUUUCAGCAAGAAUUUCACCAUUGGGAGNNNNNNNNNNNNGAAGCACUUUCACGUGUGAACCGAAGUCGUCUUGCCCAAGACCCACGGAGACCUACCUAUAGU